AGCGUACACGGUGGAUGCCCUGGCAGUCAGAGGCGAUGAAGGACGUGCUAAUCUGCGAUAAGCGUCGGUGAGGUGAUAUGAACCGUUAUAACCGGCGAUUUCCGAAUGGGGAAACCCAGUGUGUUUCGACACACUAUCAUUAACUGAAUCCAUAGGUUAAUGAGGCGAACCGGGGGAACUGAAACAUCUAAGUACCCCGAGGAAAAGAAAUCAACCGAGAUUCCCCCAGUAGCGGCGAGCGAACGGGGAGGAGCCCAGAGCCUGAAUCAGUGUGUGUGUUAGUGGAAGCGUCUGGAAAGGCGCGCGAUACAGGGUGACAGCCCCGUACACAAAAAUGCACAUAUUGUGAGCUCGAUGAGUAGGGCGGGACACGUGGUAUCCUGUCUGAAUAUGGGGGGACCAUCCUCCAAGGCUAAAUACUCCUGACUGACCGAUAGUGAACCAGUACCGUGAGGGAAAGGCGAAAAGAACCCCGGCGAGGGGAGUGAAAAAGAACCUGAAACCGUGUACGUACAAGCAGUGGGAGCCUCUUAAUGGGGUGACUGCGUACCUUUUGUAUAAUGGGUCAGCGACUUAUAUUCUGUAGCAAGGUUAACCGAAUAGGGGAGCCGAAGGGAAACCGAGUCUUAACUGGGCGUUAAGUUGCAGGGUAUAGACCCGAAACCCGGUGAUCUAGCCAUGGGCAGGUUGAAGGUUGGGUAACACUAACUGGAGGACCGAACCGACUAAUGUUGAAAAAUUAGCGGAUGACUUGUGGCUGGGGGUGAAAGGCCAAUCAAACCGGGAGAUAGCUGGUUCUCCCCGAAAGCUAUUUAGGUAGCGCCUCGUGAAUUCAUCUCCGGGGGUAGAGCACUGUUUCGGCAAGGGGGUCAUCCCGACUUACCAACCCGAUGCAAACUGCGAAUACCGGAGAAUGUUAUCACGGGAGACACACGGCGGGUGCUAACGUCCGUCGUGAAGAGGGAAACAACCCAGACCGCCAGCUAAGGUCCCAAAGUCAUGGUUAAGUGGGAAACGAUGUGGGAAGGCCCAGACAGCCAGGAUGUUGGCUUAGAAGCAGCCAUCAUUUAAAGAAAGCGUAAUAGCUCACUGGUCGAGUCGGCCUGCGCGGAAGAUGUAACGGGGCUAAACCAUGCACCGAAGCUGCGGCAGCGACACUAUGUGUUGUUGGGUAGGGGAGCGUUCUGUAAGCCUGUGAAGGUGGCCUGUGAGGGUUGCUGGAGGUAUCAGAAGUGCGAAUGCUGACAUAAGUAACGAUAAAGCGGGUGAAAAGCCCGCUCGCCGGAAGACCAAGGGUUCCUGUCCAACGUUAAUCGGGGCAGGGUGAGUCGACCCCUAAGGCGAGGCCGAAAGGCGUAGUCGAUGGGAAACAGGUUAAUAUUCCUGUACUUGGUGUUACUGCGAAGGGGGGACGGAGAAGGCUAUGUUGGCCGGGCGACGGUUGUCCCGGUUUAAGCGUGUAGGCUGGUUUUCCAGGCAAAUCCGGAAAACCAAGGCUGAGGCGUGAUGACGAGGCACUACGGUGCUGAAGCGACAAAUGCCCUGCUUCCAGGAAAAGCCUCUAAGCAUCAGGUAACAUCAAAUCGUACCCCAAACCGACACAGGUGGUCAGGUAGAGAAUACCAAGGCGCUUGAGAGAACUCGGGUGAAGGAACUAGGCAAAAUGGUGCCGUAACUUCGGGAGAAGGCACGCUGAUAUGUAGGUGAAGCGACUUGCUCGUGGAGCUGAAAUCAGUCGAAGAUACCAGCUGGCUGCAACUGUUUAUUAAAAACACAGCACUGUGCAAACACGAAAGUGGACGUAUACGGUGUGACGCCUGCCCGGUGCCGGAAGGUUAAUUGAUGGGGUUAGCGGCAACGCGAAGCUCUUGAUCGAAGCCCCGGUAAACGGCGGCCGUAACUAUAACGGUCCUAAGGUAGCGAAAUUCCUUGUCGGGUAAGUUCCGACCUGCACGAAUGGCGUAAUGAUGGCCAGGCUGUCUCCACCCGAGACUCAGUGAAAUUGAACUCGCUGUGAAGAUGCAGUGUACCCGCGGCAAGACGGAAAGACCCCGUGAACCUUUACUAUAGCUUGACACUGAACAUUGAGCCUUGAUGUGUAGGAUAGGUGGGAGGCUUUGAAGUGUGGACGCCAGUCUGCAUGGAGCCGACCUUGAAAUACCACCCUUUAAUGUUUGAUGUUCUAACGUGGGCCCCUAAUCGGGGUUGCGGACAGUGUCUGGUGGGUAGUUUGACUGGGGCGGUCUCCUCCUAAAGAGUAACGGAGGAGCACGAAGGUUGGCUAAUCCUGGUCGGACAUCAGGAGGUUAGUGCAAUGGCAUAAGCCAGCUUGACUGCGAGCGUGACGGCGCGAGCAGGUGCGAAAGCAGGUCAUAGUGAUCCGGUGGUUCUGAAUGGAAGGGCCAUCGCUCAACGGAUAAAAGGUACUCCGGGGAUAACAGGCUGAUACCGCCCAAGAGUUCAUAUCGACGGCGGUGUUUGGCACCUCGAUGUCGGCUCAUCACAUCCUGGGGCUGAAGUAGGUCCCAAGGGUAUGGCUGUUCGCCAUUUAAAGUGGUACGCGAGCUGGGUUUAGAACGUCGUGAGACAGUUCGGUCCCUAUCUGCCGUGGGCGCUGGAGAACUGAGGGGGGCUGCUCCUAGUACGAGAGGACCGGAGUGGACGCAUCACUGGUGUUCGGGUUGUCAUGCCAAUGGCACUGCCCGGUAGCUAAAUGCGGAAGAGAUAAGUGCUGAAAGCAUCUAAGCACGAAACUUGCCCCGAGAUGAGUUCUCCCUGACUCCUUGA
rnacentral:rRNA from 1 species